GCCAUGUUCGCAAGAAACUUGCAUCUCUGCAGUGCACUAGUAACAGCGCCGGUCACAACAGUGGCGGCAGUAACACAAGCCACCGUUGCCGUCACGAUUAUUUUCAGGGAAAAGAAACCAACUCUUGCCGGAAGAGACGAACCAACCAUGGCGUCGCGAGUUCAGAGCGCGUUGAGCAUGUCCUCGGCGCUGCUGUUGGUGAACGCGCCGCCCUCCUCGAGGUUGAUCACCUUGACCACGCCGUCCUCCGCGAGCAGCGCGUAGCGGCGGGACCGGACGCCGAGCCCCACGGGCUUGUCGGAGAGGUCGAGCUCGACGCCCAUGGCGCGCGCCAGCUCGCCGUUGCCGUCCGACAGGAGCAGCACCUCGUCCCCGAUCCCCAGACUCUCCUUCCACGCGCGCAUCACGAAGGCGUCGUUGACGGAGACGCAGGCCACGGUGUCGACGCCCUUGGCGCGGAGCUCCCCGGCCUUGGCCACGAACCCCGGGAGGUGCUUCUGGGUGCAGGUGGGCGUGAACGCGCCGGGCACGGCGAAGAGCACCACCUUCUUCCCCGCGGUGAGGUCGCGGACCGUCACCGUCUUCAGCUCGCCGUCGGGGGAGGACGUGUCGAAGUAGGAGAGCGUCGCGUCAGGGAGCCGGUCCCCGACCGCGAUGGUCUUGGCCGCCGCCGCGGGGGCCGCCGACGCCGACGACGCCACGGCCCGGAUUGGCGCGCCAAGGAACCCCCGGAGGGGUGCCCCGGCGGCCAGGCGGCGGGAGGCGAAGGAGAGGGAGGAGGAGGAGGCGGGGCGCGACAGGAGGAUGCGCUUACCGGCGGCGGCCGCGGUGGCGGACAGAGCAGCGAGGGCGGAGGUAGCCAUGGAGAUGGGGUGGGUGGCGAUGCGGUCGAGGAAUUGGCCUGGGGCUGGAGGUUUCUGUAUUCACUUUGGGGGACGCGACUCGCGAGCCCUAGGAUGGAAUGGGAAAUGGGAUCCUCUGCAAUCCGGGAUCUGGUGGUAGUAGGAGUGUGAUUGGCUGCGGGCGGCGGGGCUUAGCCGAUGUGCUCUGCCUCUGCGCCUCUGCCACGUCGUGUCGUCUCUUCGACUUAGGUUCGGU
rnacentral:misc_RNA from 1 species